rnacentral:rRNA from 1 species
UACGAAGGGGACUAGCGUUGCUCGGAAUCACUGGGCGUAAAGGGUGCGUAGGCGGGUUUUUAAGUCAGGGGUGAAAUCCUGGAGCUCAACUCCAGAACUGCCUUUGAUACUGAAGAUCUUGAGUCCGGGAGAGGUGAGUGGAACUGCGAGUGUAGAGGUGAAAUUCGUAGAUAUUCGCAAGAACACCAGUGGCGAAGGCGGCUCACUGGCCCGGUACUGACGCUGAGGCACGAAAGCGUGGGGAGCAAACAGG